rnacentral:lncRNA from 1 species
AAACAUUCGUAGACAAGGUUUUUCGAGCAUUGCUCAAAGUCAGUUGUCAAACUUUAAUAUGAUAAAAGUGGAUCAAGUUUCUGCAUGAUGUGGAUUCCUCUAGAUCGACUUGUUUGCAUCCUCCAAUUUUGUUGUCAUGCAAAGCUUCAGCGUCGUUGACUGUUUCUCCCCCGCUGAAACACUUAUGUUGUGAACCGUUGCAAAACUAGUCGAGAGUUGAUCUUAGAUAAAUAAUGCAUGCUCUAUUUUUUGAGAUGCUGCCAAUGUUCAGUUCCAUUAUCAGCCACUCUCCUCUUUGGAAUCCUUUCCUUUGACUUAAGUUGGUUUUUUUUGGAGGCUAGGUGAGGAGAUAUGGUCGGAUUCUGGACAGCGAGAGAAACGCACUAACUAAAUAUUUUAAUAGUGCAA